AACGAACGCUGGCGGCGUGCCUAACACAUGCAAGUCGAACGAGAAAGGGGCUUCGGUCCUGAGUAAAGUGGCGCACGGGUGAGUAACACGUAGGCAACCUACCUCUAAGAUUGGGAUAACCUGUCGAAAGACGAGCUAAUACCGGAUGAGACCACAGUUUCCCCGGAAACAGGGGUCAAAGGUAGCCUCUAUUUAUAAGCUAUCACUUAGAGAUGGGCCUGCGUACCAUUAGCUUGUUGGUGGGGUAACGGCCUACCAAGGCAAAGAUGGUUAGCUGGUCUGAGAGGAUGAUCAGCCACACUGGAACUGAGACACGGUCCAGACUCCUACGGGAGGCAGCAGUGGGGAAUAUUGCGCAAUGGGCGCAAGCCUGACGCAGCAACGCCGCGUGAGUGAUGAAGGCCCUCGGGUCGUAAAGCUCUGUCGGAGGGAACGAAUGCUCUUGAGGUUAACAGCCUCGGGAAGUGACGGUACCCUCAAAGGAAGCACCGGCUAACUCUGUGCCAGCCGCCGCCGUAAUAC
rnacentral:rRNA from 1 species